rnacentral:lncRNA from 1 species
CAGCUGUUCUAACACCUCCUGCCUGCCAGUACUGACUCUUUAUGCAUGGGGGCUUCCGGCUUAUCUAUACUUCGAAGACAGUGAACUAGGUUAACCAGAUAUAGGACUCCUCUGUCUUGCUACGAUGGACAGCCACAAGGAUUCACUUGAAUAAAAGAAGCAACAGUGGGUGCCAGGCUGUUUGCGGACCUGGGUUUGGUGUCUAACAUCCAUGUGGUGGCUCACAUCCAUCAGUAACUCCAUUCGAGGAGAUCCAAUACCCUCUACUGCCCUCCUCUAGUACCACACAGAAAUGUGCUGUUUUGUUAUACAUUUAUUACAAAGAAUCUCACAAAAAGAAAAUAUUUCAAAAAGAAUGCCAGGCUAAAGAACCUCCACCUGGAGAACUGGGGGAAGGCAGGGCAAUAAUAUCAACGUCAACAUACAGCACCCUCUGGCCAUACUUUAGCAGUUCCAGGAUGGCCAAGACGACAUCGUUGAUGUAACAGAAACCUGAGGCGUCAGACUUCUUUACAUGAUGCAGUCCCCCAGCCUGGCUCGCAGUGAUGUCCCUCUGAUGUGUAUCAAGUUUCACAGCACUUUCCAAAGAGCCACCAAUAGACAACUGACAACUCAGACAGGCCAUCGAUUACCGGGAAGUCCUCACCAACGCGGAAUCUCUGCAUCUGCUUGCUGUAUUUAGACACAUUAUCUGGGCGAAUAGAGCACAAGAGUUUAAUGUAGUCAUCACUGUGGGACUUGGUCAUCUCCUCAGCGUUGGCUCUGUGAGGACGAUAGAUUUCCAUUUUUUGGUAGAGAUGUAGUUGAGCUGCAAAUCACGAGUCAUGUGGAUUCGGUGAGGCUUCAUUGGGUGGCCCUGUCCAUAAGAUAGUUUCCAACAUCCCUGUUAACAGACGUUCCUCUUGCCCUGAGUCUGUGCCAUCUUUCUCACCACCCAGUGCUCCUGCCAGUCUGAUGUUUUAAUAUUUUUAGAUGGUGAUGCUUUGAGUUUAAAUGGCCUUUGACAAAUUCUAUCCUAAUUUCUAAUUAAGACAAGGAAAGAAAACAAAGAUGGAUAAGGACCAUAAAGUAAUGAAUGGACUGGAAACAGAAGUAAACUUAUUCAACAAUAAAA